GGAAAGGUGUUCAAGAGCGGAAACCAUUCGUCUUCUUUCUUGGUUGUUGCAAAGCACCAAGGCUCAUCAACUGUACUCACUGGUUUUAUAGAACAAUGCAGUUGCUGAUCCGAAGUUGAGGAUUUCUAUGUGAAUUUAGUAAUUGUGAAUGACAAAUGGGAUGUGAAAGAGCUUGGACUUGAGCAUAAUAGACUUGUUGUCCAGUUUCACAAUCUUUAUGAGUUGAUAGGAUUAAAUGAUGGCUCUCCUGCUAGAGUAGCACCUUACUAAAACACAAAUAUGUGAUCAAGUUAUUGGAUCCAGAUCAGGGUAUGUCAAAGGACUUAGUUAAGGACCAAAAUCUAAGAAUUAUUGCUUGAAGAAUUGCUCGCAAGUCUUAAGAUUAAGGAAACACUUCAAGAUUAUAAUCAACGUUUGAAGAUGUUAGAGCAAAACAACAUUUGUUGGUCAUAA